CCCGCGCUCACACUCACACUCGCGCGCAGGCCCCGCAGCCGCCGCCGCCGCCGGAAGCGGCGCUCGGCCCGGAUCCCGGCUGGGCUGGAGAAGGAGAGGAUCUGGGUGAGAAGCUGCUAUUGCCUGAGCUGGACCGGGACCUGACCGAGACCCCACUGCUACUGCUGCCGCCGCCACUGCUGCCGCUGUGGGGACCUCCCUGAGACCAGGCCAGGGAUAGAGCCUCGCUGGCUGGAGGGCCCCCCUUAGCCUGCAGACACCGGAUCCAGGUGACAGAUGGGUCUUUUCCUUCCUGCCCCGUCUCUCGAGCUCCCUCCUCAGAGUUUCAGUCUCCAGUCUCCCAUGGGAAUCGUGGGAAUCAUCUGAAGUUCUGAGCCCAGAACCCGAGGAGGAGGAGGAAGACGAGGAAGAGGAGGAAGAGAAAUUGGAGGAGGAGGAGGAGGAGGAGGAGGGAGAGGAAGUCAAGUCUUGAGAGCCCGUGGCCUUCCCGGAAACAGGCGGUGGGGUGUGUCCCUGCCCGGUUGCAGCGCCUGGCCUCUGUUGGUAGUGCCCCCCCCCACCCCCAGAGGACCCCGGGCAGUUGGCACUGGCCGUGUCUGCUUCACCUGGGGCCCCCGUGCUGGGGGUCGCCCCCAAGAUGGUGGCGGCCCCGGGGAGGACUGUGCUGCCAGGCCCCGCCUCCCGCUGCUAGGUCCCCCCACGCCCCGGCC